CACCUUCGGGUGGGAGUGGCAGACGGGUGAGUAACACGUGGGAACGUGCCCUUUGGUUCGGAAUAACCCAGGGAAACUUGGGCUAAUACCGGAUACGUCCGAGAGGAGAAAGAUUUAUCGCCAAGGGAUCGGCCCGCGUCUGAUUAGCUAGUUGGUGGGGUAAUGGCCCACCAAGGCUACGAUCAGUAGCUGGUCUGAGAGGAUGAUCAGCCACACUGGGACUGAGACACGGCCCAG
rnacentral:rRNA from 1 species